rnacentral:rRNA from 1 species
AGAGACAGCAGUAGCCGCGGUAAUACGUAGGUCCCGAGCGUUGUCCGGAUUUAUUGGACGUAAAGCGAGCGCAGGCGGUUAGAUAAGUCUGAAGUUAAAGGCUGUGGCUUAACCAUAGUACGCUUUGGAAACUGUUUAACUUGAGUGCAAGAGGGGAGAGUGGAAUUCCAUGUGUAGCGGUGAAAUGCGUAGAUAUAUGGAGGAACACCGGUGGCGAAAGCGGCUCUCUGGCUUGUAACUGACGCUGAGGCUCGAAAGCGUGGGGCGCAAACAGGAUUAGAUACCCCAGUAGUCCCUGUCUCUUAUACA